UACGUAGGUGGCAAGCGUUGUCCGGAUUUAUUGGGUUUAAAGGGUGCGUAGGUGGGUUGGGAAGUCAGUGGUGAAAUACUUUCGCUUAACGAAGGAACUGCCAUUGAUACUAUCAAUCUUGAAUGUAGUGGAGGUAGGCGGAAUGCGUCAUGUAGCGGUGAAAUGCUUAGAUAUGACGCAGAACACCAAUUGCGAAGGCAGCUUGCUACACUACUAUUGACACUGAGGCACGAAAGCGUGGGGAUCAAA
rnacentral:rRNA from 1 species